GCCGUAGUCCUGCUGCAAGUUAUUGAUCAAAAUCAAUGGCUUGCGAGACGCAGUUGAUUCAAAAUCAACCGUAGAAAUACGUGCCGGUUCGAGUCCGGCCUUCGGCACCA
rnacentral:tRNA from 2 species